rnacentral:rRNA from 1 species
CCUACGGGAGGCAGCAGUGAGGAAUAUUGGUCAAUGGGCGGGAGGCUGAACCAGCCAAGUCGCGUGAGGGAAGAAGGCACUAUGGGUUGUAAACCUCUUUUGUCAGGGAAGAAAGAAGGCGACGUGUCGCAUGAUGCCUGUACCUGAUGAAUAAGCAUCGGCUAACUCCGUGCCAGCAGCCGCGGUAAUACGGAGGAUGCGAGCGUUAUCCGGAUUUAUUGGGUUUAAAGGGUGCGCAGGCGGGUGAUCAAGUCAGCGGUAAAAUGUUGGGGCUCAACCCCAUCCAGCCGUUGAAACUGGUGAUCUUGAGUGGGCGAGAAGUAUGCGGAAUGCGUGGUGUAGCGGUGAAAUGCAUAGAUAUCACGAAGAACUCCGAUUGCGAAGGCAGCAUACCGGCGCCCUACUGACGCUGAGGCACGAAAGCGUGGGUAUCGAACAGGAUUAGAUACCCUUGUAGUC